rnacentral:tRNA from 1 species
UGUCACUCAGUGGUAGAGUUCUUGCCUAGCAUGCCUGAAGCCCUGGGUUCAAUCCCCAGUACAA